rnacentral:lncRNA from 1 species
AGAACAACACAACCAAGUGUGUUCGUUUGGCAAGAUCAUGAAUUACUUCCUCUAUGCAUUGUUAAACGUUGAAUGCGAAAUUGAAAUUAAUUACUUUUAUCAGAAUUUUAUUUUCUAGUAAAAACAAACAAUUUCAAAAGAAAAUUGAUUAGGCAGACGAAAUGACCAAUGUGAGAUGUAGAUAGGUCUUUCAAUUUACAAAAAAGAAUUAAUAACUAAUGUAUUAUGCGAAGAUGAAGAGCAAGGAGAUGAAGCUAUAUAUAUCUUGUGCGGCAGCUUGAGCCUUGAGGAGUAUCUGUAUCACAAGUGCCCAAUCACAGUACCCUCAUUCUCUUCUGAGGGACUCUGCCACCAUUUUGUCUCAGUCUCACUCCCCGAAUAAGAGAAAGCUGAGUCGAGGGUGUUUUUGCACGCAUGCCUUCCAUGGUUUUUGGUAAGUGCCCACUGAAAUCCAAGAGUAGAAAUUGUGCGCACAGACAAAGAUAUAUUGAGAGGGAAAGGAAUGAUAUAGUAUUUACCAAUGAAAGAAACAAAUAAGCCACCCUGUAAUUGUUUUUCCCAAUUCAAUAAAAUAAGAUGCUAAUUUAUUGCAAAGUUGGA